GGGCAUAUGGUGUAAUGGCUGUGCACACUGAGUUCGCAAUCCAGAGGACUGGAGUUUGAUUCCCAGUAUGUCCA